rnacentral:rRNA from 1 species
UACGUAGGUGGCAAGCGUUGUCCGGAUUUACUGGGCGUAAAGAGCGCGCAGGCGGCCAAGUCAGUCGAAUGUGAAAGCCCCCGGCUCAACUGGGGAGGGUCAUUCGAUACUGCUCGGCUCGAAGACAGGAGAGGGAAGUGGAAUUCCCGGUGUAGUGGUGAAAUGCGUAGAUAUCGGGAGGAACACCAGCGGCGAAAGCGCGUAACUGGGGCAUAACUGACGCUGAGGAACGAAAGCCAGGGUAUCCAAAGGG